GUCAUCCGUAUGUCAAGGCUAACAUAUGAUUGACAAAGUAAACUCCGACUAUGCCAUCACUAUGUCGUGUUGUGAUAAUAUACUGCAAAGGAUUAACAAUGAACUACCUGACGAGUGGGAGGCAAAGUUGGUGGCAGAGCAGGGACGCAUUUAUUAUCUAAGGUAGGUGUUGGGCAGAUAAUGUCCUAGAAAGACUUCCAUUUGCCCCCCCCCCC
rnacentral:lncRNA from 1 species